rnacentral:tRNA from 1 species
GCCCCCAUCGUCUAGCGGCCUAGGACGUAGCCCUCUCACGGCUAAAACAGGGGUUCGAGUCCCCUUGGGGGUA